rnacentral:misc_RNA from 1 species
UAAAAUUAUAACUUGAAAAAUAUGAAUUCUCGAGCUCAAGAUGUCAACUCUCAAGUUGUAGUUAGUAUUCUGCAAUACAAUAAUACAAAAACUACACGAAUGUCAUGAACUAAUUCACAUUCAAAAUAUGUAUUUAUUUUAGGGCCGGAUAUGUGUAAUGUGCAAAAUGUUUGUCAUAGCUAAAAAUGAAAAACAUGUCUGCCACAACUCUGGAACACCUAAAGAGAUGUCAAAAUGUCAUCCCAUAAAGCCUCGGACCGUUGCCACAACAAGCUCCUUUAAGGAGUUGAUGCAAGAAUGUGGAGUGAAUGAUGAAGCAGACAAAGAGCCAGAAGAGGAAACGGAAUUAUUAGAUUUCAGUACUCAAUUGAUAAUAGAGGUUGAAAAAAGAAGACCUCUUUGGGAUGCUAGGCUUCCAAAAGCUGACAGAUACCCGCAAAUUAUUAACAGAUUAUGGAUGGAAAUAAUAAAUGUACUGAAUUGUGGGUCACUUUUCACAACUAAACAGUUAGAAAAAAAAUUUGGCUAUUUGAAAGAGCAGUACCGCAGAGAAAAAUCCAAAUUGAUAAAGCCAAGUGGUGCACAAGGUGGAAAACAAUUAAAACAAUGGAUGCAUUUUAAAAGUCUAACAUUUUUAGAUGAAGUUUAUGUACAAAAUAAGUAAUUAUAUAUACAUUUUAAACAUUUUAAACAAGGACAAAACAAUGUAUACAAAACUUUUUUUUUUUACAAGUACUAUUUCUAAUAUUGAAGUAUCUGAACCAGAUAAUGCCAUCAACAACUUAAAUAAGGGCAAUGAAUCAACUGCUGGACUAAGCUCAAAAAAAAGAAAAUCAUUAGUUUGUUCGGAUGUUUUUGAACAAUCGUUGCUUGAAGAAUUGAAAGCAUCAAGACCGAAGAGCCCACCACCACUUCAAAAGCUUAGUGGUGACGAAUCAUUCUGUUCGUACUUAGGAAGUCUGAUGUCCGACUUACCAACGAACACAAAAAGAAGGCUACAAGGUGAAUUUAUUUCCACAGUCAUCAGUGAACUCAAUUAUUAAAUUUUAUGAUACAUUUUUCAUUAAUAAAAGUUAUUUUUUC